CACCAGCCGUCACACUAUGAGAGCUGACCAUGCCCGAAGUCGUUACCUUAACCACAAGGAGGGGGAUAUCGAAGGGAAGGCUAGUGACUGGAGUAAAGUCGUAACAAGGUAGCCGUACUGGAAGGUGCGGCUG
rfam:Gossypium arboreum cultivar AKA8401 contig_31655_5, whole genome shotgun sequence.